CUUGACCCAUUAUUAAUUUUCCAGGAACAAAUAAUUACCUGUGGGUAUAUGUAGAAGCUGCUUCACUCAUCUUUCUUUCAUUAUAUUAAAAUAAAAAAUUAUCUAAAAAUCCCUUAAAUUUAUUGUCAUCAAAUAUGCAUACACAGUUUGUUGUAGGAGAAUCAUCUUCUUCUUCCAACUUGUAUUAUGAUGUAUUUCUUAGUUUCAGAGGUGAAGAUACUCGCAAAACCUUCACCGGUCAUCUUUACACCCAAUUGUGUCAAGUCGGAGUUAAUACCUUCAUAGAUGAUGAGGAAUUAAGAAAGGGAGACGCCAUUUCAACCGAACUUGAGAAAGCAAUUGAACAAUCAAGGGUUGCCAUUGUUGUUUUCUCCAUAAAUUAUGCUUCCUCUAGUUGGUGUCUUGAUGAACUCGUUAAAAUUCUCGAUUGCAGAGAGAGGUUAAAUCAGGUAGUUUUGCCUAUUUUUUAUGAUGUUGAUCCUUCUCAAGUGCGAAAGCAAAAAGGGUCCUUUGGCAAAGCUUUGGCAGAACACAAGGAACCAUUGGUUGGAGCUGAAAGAAUGGAAAAGUGGAAAGCAGCACUCACUGAAGCUGCGAGUUUAUCUGGAUGGGAUCUGCAAAACAUGGCUGAUGGGCAUGAAUCAAAAUUUAUCGGAAGUAUUAUAAAACAAGUUCUGCAAGAGGUCAACCAGACACCUCUAGAUGUUGCUCAUUACCCAAUUGGAUUAGAUUCUUCUAUCCAACAUAUAGAGUUGUUACUGCAAAGUGGAUGUGAGCAUGAAGUUCGUAUGGUUGGUAUAUGUGGCGUUGGUGGAAUUGGAAAAACAACUCUGGCGAAAGCUAUAUACAAUCGAUUAUUUCGACAGUUUGGUGGUUGUUGUUGCUUUCUAUCAGACAUUAGAUCACAAGCUGAAGAAUCGGGUCUAAUCAAGCUACAAGAGAAACUACUUUGUCAAAUUCUCAAAACUAAGGAAUUCAAAGUUGAUAGUGUUGCUGAAGGUGUCAAUCUAAUCAAAGCAAGACUUGGGUCAAAGAAGGUUCUAAUUGUUCUUGAUGACGUGGAUCAUAGAAGCCAAUUAGAAUCCUUGACAAGAGAAAGAAGUUGGUUUGGCUCGGGUAGUGUAAUAAUUAUUACAACCCGAGAUGAGCAUUUGCUACAUGGGCUUACAACAAGUGAGAUACACCGGGCCAAACUUUUAAAUGAAAAUGAAUCUCAACAACUUUUUUCUUGUCAUUCUUUUAACAGUCUUUCUCCACCACAAGAAUAUGUUGAACUGGCACAAGACAUAAUAAAAUAUUCAGGUGGGCUACCAUUAGCUCUUGUGACAUUGGGGUCACAUCUGCAAGGGAGAUCCGUUGAAGAAUGGAGAAAUGAGUUCAAGAAACUAAAAGCAAUUCCUCAUUAUGAUAUUCAAAAGAUUCUCCAGAUAAGCUUUGAUGGACUUGAUGAUAAUACUCAAAGUGUUUUCCUUGAUAUCGCGUGUGCCUUCCAUGGAUUUUUUGAGGAUGAAGUUACUAGUACAUUAAAUGCGUGUGGUUUUUAUUCUGAAAGUGCUAUUUCAACCUUAGUCCAAAGGAACUUGCUCCAAAGGGAUUGGCAUAAUUUAGCGAUGCAUGAUCUUGUGCGGGAUAUGGGAAGAGAAAUCGUUCGCAGGGAAUCACCUCGAGACUCUGGAAAACGGAGUAGAUUGUUCAACCCUCAAGAAGUCUGUGACGUUCUACAAGGAAAUAAAGGUUCUGAAAAUGUAGAAGUACUGAUGGUAGAACGACAUGCAUUAAAGGGUGUGAAGCUGAGCACCAAAGCAUUUCAGAAAAUGAUAAAUCUUAGGGUGCUUAAAAUCGACGACUUACAUAUUAGUGGAGAUUUUGAGCUAUUGUCCAAGGAGCUCAGAUGGUUGUCUUGGGAAGGAUGUCCUUUAAAAUGUAUACCAUCAAAUUUUCCAUCUGACCAACUUGUAUUUCUGAAUAUGAAAGGGAGCAAUAUCCAAGAACUUGGUUUGAAUUUGCAGUAUUGUAGAAAUUUGAAGAAGCUGGAUCUCUCUGAUUGCAAGCACCUCAGAAAUACUCCAAACUUCAGCGGUUUACGAAGUCUCGAGACUUUGUGGCUUGAGAAUUGCUCAAGUCUAAAGGAGAUCCAUCCAUCAAUAGGAAAUUUGGACAGACUAACUGCUCUUCAUUUGUAUGGUUGCAAAAAGAUUACGGAUCUUCCAAGUAGCACAUGCCAGCUAAAAUCCCUUGAAGACUUGGACAUUACUUACUGCUCAUCUUUACAAACACUGCCAGCUGACAUUGGAGAUAUGCAAAGCCUAAGACAUCUCUAUGCACAAGAUACUGAUAUAAAACAAUUGCCCGGAUCUGUUAAAAUGCUAAGAAAUCUUACAGAUUUGCAAGUGGGAGGUCAAAAUUUAAAGGCCAAAAGGAGAGUUUAUCAAAGAAGAUCCCACCAUAUAGAAUCCUUGCCAAUUUCUAUUUCUCGUUUAAUCCUUCGAUAUUGUGAUUUCUCCGAGGCUGAUAUUCCUAGGGAUAUUGGGACUUUAUCCAACUUACAUGAUUUAGAUUUGAGCGGCAACAGUUUCCUCUAUCUACCCUUUGAUUUCUCCAAGUUACCAUGGUUGAAGUCCUUGCGUUUGAAUGAUUGUAUGAAUCUUCAAACACUCCCGUCAAUAUCAAAUUUAGAGUACCUUUAUAUUCUUGAACUUAGGAAUUGCCAAAAGUUGGUCAAGAUUACAGGGUUGGACAACCUCCCUUCAAUACAAGAGAUCGACACUCUUAAUUGUACUUCUCUGCAGAAUCCAUUCAAUGAUGGCUUCUUUAGUGCCCAUGCUCUAUCAAUUUCAUCUAGAAAAUAUGCAAUGUUUCAGCUGCGGUUACACAUUUAUCUCCAAAGCAAUGAGAUUCCAGAUUGGUGCAGCAAUCAAGUAACAGCUCCAUCUAUCUGUUUCACUAUUCCCUCCGUAUUUAAGAAAAAGUCGUUAGGAAUGAUUCUCUGGUUUGUUUGCGACUCUAAGAUUUUAUCCCAGUUUGGACACUUCCUUGUUUCCGUAUCCAAUAAAAAGCCUUUAGUUUUUUACUGGACUAGGUAUAUUACUACACCCGAAUCACACGGAGAAGUAUCAUGCGUAUAUUACAUAUCUUGCUUAACUAGUCAUUAUUCUGGCCUGAUGAUCAAAGGCGGGGAAAAGAUAACAGUCGAGGAGGGCCCUGACAAAGGUAGAGUAAAGAAGAUAGGGGUACAUCUGUUAUACUUAGACAAACAUGGUAAUGUUACAUCUUCCCCACCAAUCCUUGAAGAAAAUCAUUCGCAUUCUCAGAUAAUGAACAGAGAGAGUCUCAGUGGAAAUGAACUCAAAAAGAGUGUCAAACAGAGGAUAUCAGCUCAAUCCUUGAAGAACAUCAUCACUCGCUUCAAAUCUUAGUUGAAUCAAAAAUAACUUGCUCCAGUUUCUUAUCAACAUGCAAUAUUCAAAAUGCUCAUCCAACUACAAUCUGAUUUUUUUAAAAAGUAUUUUUCAUCCGACAGAUGCUAAAUACUCAUUGCAAGUUGUCAUCCAAUGAAAAUUUUGCUAGUGUGUACAUUUUAUAUCUUACUCAAAUGAUGGACCUUUUUAUGGCCUGAAGAUUGAAGGCGGGGAAAAGAUAACAGUCAAGGAGGGCGCUGACGAAGAAUCCAUUCAAUGAAUGCAUCUUUAGUGCCACUGCUCUAUCAAUUCCAUCUGGAAAAUAUCCAAUACAUGAGGGUAGUCCCCUCUCUCUCUCUCUCGUAUCACAUUAACAAUUAAUGAUCUAAUUGUAUUUUAAUUUGUCUGAUGAAGCAGAUUUUAUGAAUUUGUGUCGAAUGCAAUGAGAUUCCAGAUGGGUGCAGCAAUAAAGUAACAGCUCCAUAUAUCUGUUUCACUAUGCCCACAAUACAUAAUAAUAAGUUGUUAAGAAUGGUUCUCUAGUCUGUUGGCGACUUUGAGGCUUUAUCCUAUUUUGGGAACUUCCUUGUUACUGUUGCCCAUAAAAAGCCUUUAGUUAUGGAGUGGUUUGGGUGUAGGAAAAUACCCGAAUUACACGAAGAAAUAGCAUGUGUAUUUGAUGUAUCUUGCUUACGUAGACCUUUCGAUGGCCUGAUGCUCAAAGGUGGGGAAGAGAUAACAGUCGAGGAGGGCCCUUACAAAGGUGUAGUAAAAAAGAUAGGUAUCCAUCUGUUAUACUUAGACCAACACGGUAAUGUUACAUCUUUCCCCAUUUCCAGAAAAACUUCAGCAGGGCAUAAAAGAGCAAAGUUCUGAGUCAAGCUUGGGAAUGAGUGAUGACUGAAUCUGUGGUUUCGAGAUUGCUCAAGUCUGAGACUUCUAUUUCGAGAUUUUCUUUUCUAAGAAGAGCAUGCCACUUACAAUCCUUGUCAUCGACUUCUAUUUCGUGUUUGUCUGAGACUGAUUUUCCUAAGUUUAUUGGGAGUUUAUAUACUGCAUAGAAGUUUUAGAUUUGAGCAGUAACAAUUUUCACUGAGGUUCUUGCUUUUGAAUGACAAUGAGAGUCUUCAAACACUUCCAUCAGUUGCUUCUGUAUAAAAUUUUGUUUUCCAUUGUAUACUGCUAGUUUUUUGAGCUGCACUAAAACUUAGUAAAAAGAGAUGAAUCUGUAUAGUGAAUAUACUUCUUAUAAAUGUUUGUGGUGA